AGACUCAAAUAGUACGUGAAAUUGCUAAAAGGGAAACGGUUGAAGUCAGUGUUGCGCCUAGGAAAUCAACCGUCAGUUUCUGAUGGUGCACUUUCUUGGGUGCAAGUCAACAUCAGUUUGGAGACGUGGAAAAAAUCCUGGGAAGGUAGCUGGCCUUCGGGCCAGUAUUAUAGCCUAGGAUGAUGCACGGAUCUGGACUGAGGACUGCAGCGCCAAAUUGGGACUUGUCGCAUUUUUGGGGGGUCGCUGGGUAUUCUGCCUGCAGAAUGCCUUGCUUCACCUAGUCUAUGUGGCUUUGUUCACACCAGCGCUUAGGAUGUUGACGAAAUGGCUUUAAACGACC
rnacentral:rRNA from 1 species